AACACACACACACGCUAGCAUGCCAUUUCCUAACAUUUAUGGCUGCAAUAGAACAAUUACAUCCCACCCUGCAUCCCCAGGUUCCCGUUACUUUAACCCUUGGAGCGCUGUCCGCUCUCUGCAGGUCAUACUCACCCCUGGAUGCCCGGGCUGUAAGUCCUGGUCUUCCAGGGGGUACCGGGUCUCUGCUGCUGCUCCUGGGGGAGGUGGUUAUUGUUCAGCGCGGCCCCCCGGCUCCCGGACAGCAGGUAGUUCAUCCCAUAAGUGCUAGCUUUAUUCUCCCGUUUCCUGCGGCCCGGAUGGUACUGGUGCUGCUGGAUGGAGUUGGCUGAGGCGGGGGCAGAGGACGGCGGGGGCGGGGGGCUGCUGCGGCUGCUGUUGCUGCUGCGGCGGCGGGGGCGUAGGAGGCGGCGGCGCCAGGAGGUUGCUGUUGGCUCCGCUGUGCGGGUUAUGGUGGUGGUGAUGGCCAUUCACGCUGUUGAGAUUGUUCAGUUUGUUCUCAUUGAAGUUAAAAAAGGCGCCGGGGCCUCCGCCGCCUCCCCGGCCAGGUAAGGUCCCACCGCCGCCCCCGGACAGAGUCCGGCCGGAGGAGGCGCUGCUCGAGGACGAGGACGAGGAAGAGGAGGAAAAGCCGGGACUCUCGGUGCCAGACUCGUUGUUGGAAGAGGUGGACGACGACGAAGACACGGAGGGAGACUUCUGCAGCCGCCGCCCGCCGUCGGCGCUCCCGGCCGCGGCGGCGGGGACCAGUCCGACUCGGCCGCCUUGGUUACCACGACUGCGCACUAAGGCUCUCCUCGGGACUGGCGGAGGGGAGGCUGGAUGGAAGAUGUUGGAGUACGCGACAGGGAGGGGCUAUCGAGCUGAGGAGGGGGUGUCGGAGUGGAGUCUGGAGGGUUCGGAGACGGCUCGCCCGCGCUCCUUUAAAAUGGAAUUGGCCUAGGAGGAAGAGGUUAAUGCGUAUGUGUGUGUGUGUGGUAUGUGUGCGCGCUGCUGGGACUGGAAUGGCACACACGGAUACACGUUGGGACAGGGGCCAAUUCCAGGAGACGUGUGCGCGAUGUCUGGCUAGCGGGAACAUUUGGAACCUCUCAGAAAAGCCGAGACGCCGGCAGCCCAGGGUCCCUGUACAACCCCGCCCGGCUCUCGAGUGCGCUUGCGCAGCGGGACCCCUUAGCCGUCACCUCUGGAUGGAACUUUCUGCGCAGCUGGGGAGGGAGGGGUCCUACCCCCCACCGCUACGCCUCAUAUUCUGGGCCCUAAUUCCGGAGGGGGGAGAGGGGAGAAGGUGA
rnacentral:lncRNA from 1 species